ACCUCCCUAGUAUAAUAGUACAAGUGACUUCCAAUCACUAAGUCUUAGUACAACCCCUAAGGGGAAGUA
rnacentral:tRNA from 1 species